rnacentral:rRNA from 1 species
AAAUUGAAGAGUUUGAUCAUGGCUCAGAUUGAACGCUGGCGGCAGGCCUAACACAUGCAAGUCGAACGGUAACAGGAAGCAGCUUGCUGCUUCGCUGACGAGUGGCGGACGGGUGAGUAAUGUCUGGGAAACUGCCUGAUGGAGGGGGAUAACUACUGGAAACGGUGGCUAAUACCGCAUAACGUCGCAAGACCAAAGAGGGGGACCUUCGGGCUUCUUGCCAUCAGAUGUGCCCAGAUGGGAUUAGCUAGUUGGUGAGGUAACGGCUCACCAAGGCGACGAUCCCUAGCUGGUCUGAGAGGAUGACCAGCCACACUGGAACUGAGACACGGUCC